CUACGGGCGGCAGCAGUGGGGAAUAUUGGACAAUGGGCGCAAGCCUGAUCCAGCCAUGCCGCGUGAGUGACGAAGGCCUUAGGGUUGUAAAGCUCUUUUGGCGGGGACGAUAAUGACGGUACCCGCAGAAUAAGCUCCGGCUAACUUCGUGCCAGCAGCCGCGGUAAUACGAAGGGAGCUAGCGUUGUUCGGAAUCACUGGGCGUAAAGCGCACGUAGGCGGAUUUGUUAGUCAGGGGUGAAAUCCCGGGGCUCAACCUCGGAACUGCCUUUGAUACUGCAAAUCUCGAGUCCGAGAGAGGUGGGUGGAAUUCCUAGUGUAGAGGUGAAAUUCGUAGAUAUUAGGAAGAACACCGGUGGCGAAGGCGGCCCACUGGCUCGGUACUGACGCUGAGGUGCGAAAGCGUGGGGAGCAAACAGGAUUAGAUACCCGCGUAGUC
rnacentral:rRNA from 1 species